rnacentral:misc_RNA from 1 species
CCUACUUUCAUUACUGCCGUUCAUUACGAUUUGAUGAUAAGCCUGAUUAUGCUUACCUGAAAAGAAUAUUUCGUGAUCUCUUUAUUCGUGAGGGCUUCCAAUUUGAUUACGUCUUUNNGACUGGACAAUAUUGAAGUAUCAGCAAUCGCAGCUGGCUAAUCCUCCAGCCCGUGGCCUUGGUCCCGGAAUUGGAACUAGUUCUGGACUUCCCCCUGCUAUUGCCAGUGCAGAUAGACAGACAGGUGGGGAACAAGUUGGUCAGUCGAUAGAUUCUGCUCGUCGUAGACUUUCAGGACCUAUCCUAAAUGCCGGAAGUUAUGCAAUGCAGAAGAAUCCAGUUGCCAAUGAUUCUCCAGUUAGUAAGGACCCUAUGUUACCAAGCUCUAUUUUCAUGGGCCGAUCAAGUCGAUCAUCCAGGCAAGCUGCUGCUGUUUCAACCAGUCGUGAUAUGUUUGUUGGAAGUGAGGCUGAUCCCCAUCGAUCACGCACAACUGAUGCAAGCCCAGGAGCGAUGCAUAAAAUUUCCAGUGGGCAAAGGAGUCCUCCUCUUGGAACUGCAGCAGACCCCAGACACUCAUCAUCAGCCAGAAAUGCCACACACAUGAAGACCUAUGAAUCUGCCCUCAAGGGAAUUGAGGGCCUGAAUUUUGACAAUGAUGAGAAGGUUCAUUAUUA